rnacentral:rRNA from 1 species
UGGGGGUACCUAAAGUACGUAACCGCAAGGAGCGUCCUAGGGUAAAACCGAUAACUGGGGCUAAGUCGUAACAAGGUAGCCGUACCGGAAGGUGCGGCUGGAAUACCUCCUUUCUGGAGC